AAUUCCCAAAUAUUAAGUGGGCAUACAGCUUCCUAGAACAAAGACUGCAUUUCCUACUUGUGUUGCAGAUGAGGAAACAGGCAUAGUGAGGCCAAGCAACAUUCCCUGGGUGGAUUUUGGACCAGAACCCAAGGGCUCUGACUCCAGAGGAACUUAAAGACAAGAGAGUUGGAACUGAGCCAGAUGCUCUUUCUAUAACUGCAGUGGAUAACUUU